rnacentral:rRNA from 1 species
GGCGCACGGGUGAGUAACGCGUGGAUAAUCUGCCCCUCAGUUGGGAAUAACUCAUCGAAAGGUGAGCUAAUACCGAAUAAUACUGUGAGACCCCGGUCGAUCAGUCAAAGGGAGCCUCUGCUUGAAGCUUUCGCUGAAGGAUGAGUCCGCGUACCAUUAGCUAGUUGGUAGGGUAAUGGCCUACCAAGGCGACGAUGGUUAGCUGGUCUGAGAGGAUGAUCAGCCACACUGGAACUGAGACACGGUCCAGACUCCUACGGGAGGCAGCAGUGAGGAAUCUUGCGCAAUGGGGGAAACCCUGACGCAGCAACGCCGCGUGAGUGAGGAAGGUCUUCGGAUCGUAAAGCUCUGUCAGAUGGGAAGAAAUGCAUGGGAGUAAAUAGCUCCACUGCUUGACGGUACCAUCAGAGGAAGCACCGGCUAACUCCGUGCCAGCAGCCGCGGUAAUACGGGGGGAGCAAGCGUUGUUCGCAAUCAUUGGGCGUAAAGAGCGUGUAGGCGGCUUGAUAAGUCAGAUGUGAAAGCCCCGGGCUCAACCUGGGAAGUGCAUUUGAAACUGUAAUGCUACAGUAGUGCAGAGGGAAGUGUAAUUCCUGGGGUAGAGAUGAAAUUCGUAGAUAUCACGAGGAACACCGGUGGCGGAAGGCAACUUCAUGGCCCUAUACUGACGCUGAGACGCGUGAGCGCGUGUAGCACAUGGGAUUAGAUACCCCUGACAAUCUACGCAGUAAACGAUGGUACGCUAGGUGUUAGCGGAGUACUGACCCACCUCAGUGCUCGCAUUCUAACUGCAUUUAACUGGAACCGCCAUGGGAUAUUCCGGUCGUUAGACU